CAAUGUAGCUCAUCGAACAAUCAUGGCUCUAUGGGAGGCCAGAGCCUCGAGCCUGGUGCCCCGAGCAGAAAGUGCAAAUAGUUGAAGUCUUGAAGACGAGUCCGAGUCAAAAGGCCUCGAAUCUGGAGAGUGGAUCUUUCUUAGUCCUUGAGGAUGUCAGUAUGUCCGAGGUUCAUUCAUGUUCUCUUCCUGUUCUCAUCGGUUUCGUCAUGGAGUUAUUCAGUGGCGGCCAAAUGGAAUACAAAGCUAUGAAGAGAGCUGGCGGUCUUAACUAUUCUUGCACUCCAUGGGAGUCAGAAAAGGCUGAUGUGUAUGAGAGGCAAU